rnacentral:rRNA from 1 species
UGACACUGAACAUUGAGCCUUGAUGUGUAGGAUAGGUGGGAGGCUUUGAAGUGUGGACGCCAGUCUGCAUGGAGCCGACCUUGAAAUACCACCCUUUAAUGUUUGAUGUUCUAACGUGGACCCGUGAUCCGGGUUGCGGACAGUGUCUGGUGGGUAGUUUGACUGGGGCGGUCUCCUCCUAAAGAGUAACGGAGGAGCACGAAGGUUGGCUAAUCCUGGUCGGACAUCAGGAGGUUAGUGCAAUGGCAUAAGCCAGCUUGACUGCGAGCGUGACGGCGCGAGCAGGUGCGAAAGCAGGUCAUAGUGAUCCGGUGGUUCUGAAUGGAAGGGCCAUCGCUCAACGGAUAAAAGGUACUCCGGGGAUAACAGGCUGAUACCGCCCAAGAGUUCAUAUCGACGGCGGUGUUUGGCACCUCGAUGUCGGCUCAUCACAUCCUGGGGCUGAAGUAGGUCCCAAGGGUAUGGCUGUUCGCCAUUUAAAGUGGUACGCGAGCUGGGUUUAGAACGUCGUGAGACAGUUCGGUCCCUAUCUGCCGUGGGCGCUGGAGAACUGAGGGGGGCUGCUCCUAGUACGAGAGGACCGGAGUGGACGCAUCACUGGUGUUCGGGUUGUCAUGCCAAUGGCACUGCCCGGUAGCUAAAUGCGGAAGAGAUAAGUGCUGAAAGCAUCUAAGCACGAAACUUGCCCCGA